AGCAGGAUUUGACACUCUUGAGCUGAACUCUGCAGGAAUGGUGUUCCCAGAGAAGAAUGGGACACCUCUCUUGCUUAGGUGUAACAAUCAUGCUUCAGAUGUUUGUAGGAAGACGGACAGUUGUAAGAAAGUGCUGCUAGAAGCUCUGACCUUGUUUCGCUUACAGUCUGCACAGCUUCAGACUCUCAGGUGGCUGCGAGAUACUGCAUGCAAGCUGGGAGUGGGCGCAGAGGCCUGACACUCCCGCCUACACAGACAUACGGACCAGCGCAGAUCCGCGACCAGUUCUGUAGUUACUGGAACUGAUUAAGGCUGGAGUUCCGAGAAAUGCAGCUGGUCUUAGACGCAUUUGGUUCGGAACACAAACACACAUAAUCCUUCACAAACCACGUCAGAAAGGCUAACAGUGAUGUUUGUGGCGGUCUUGCGUUCCACCGAGCAAAGUGUCACAUUCCAGAAGGGUGAGGUUGUUAAAUCGGUUGACUGGGAAAGCGAGGGUGAGGCGUGGGCACUGGGGUCUCUCACAGAGUAAAACCCUGUCCACAAACUCUACAGUACGGUUUUCGUAAAACCAUGUUUGACUGCUCAUAAUAUGUCCAUUCAUAUUGUGUACUGUAAAGGUUUAAACAAUGUCUGUCCAGAGAACCUGAGGUGCAUUCAUUUUGAGGAGGCAGCGAAACUACCUUUGUAAGGCGCAUCAAGAAAUGACUUGACAGUUAACAAAACCUUCCUCCUAAACUUGCCAGAAUCCAAAGACUUUCUGUGCAGUCUCCAGCAUAUGAAUCCAUGUCACCUAGAAGCGUCUAGUCUUAAACUUACCAAUCAAAAAACACUUUCCUUCUCCGCCCCCAUCGCUUUUUCCCACGUAAGGUAUCCAGCUGGAAAACAGCUCAGAUUUUUCCCCUUAAGUGCAAAACUUUGCCCCUUAGAAUGCAUUACAUUAGCAGAAUCAGCACUGCAUGGAAAACCAAUUGGGGGGAAAACCCAGUUGUCAUACAGACAUACUAUUUCCCUAAAAAAGUAAACUCGCACGUCUGUGCAUGAAUCUGUACUCUCAAAGUAGCGCCUCUUGAUUGAUAAAAAACAUUGAGUUGAGUGCACACAAAAUCAGAAGACUGCAGGGGCAACAUUCCAAGUGAACACCGUACAAUCAAUUGACAAUAUAAGAACAGGGUUUUUUUACACUAAAAUGUAAAUGCUUUAUGCUUUAGAGGUGGCGUAUUAGCAAUCCCAGGUUCUUAAGUUUGAUUCCCACGGGACAGCCAAGCUGAUAAAAU